rnacentral:rRNA from 1 species
GACGAACGCUGGCGGCGUGCUUAACACAUGCAAGUCGAACGGAAAGGCCCUGCUUUUGUGGGGUUCUCGAGUGGCGAACGGGUGAGUAACACGUGAGUAACCUGCCCUUCACUUUGGGAUAACUUCAGGAAACUGGGGCUAAUACCGGAUAGGAGCUCCUGCUGCAUGGUGGGGGUUGGAAAGUUUCGGCGUUUGGGGAUGGACUCGCGGCUUACCAGCUUGCUGGUGGGGUAGUGGCUUACCAAGGCUUUGACGGGUAGCCGGCCUGAGAGGGUGACCGGCGACAUUGGGACUGCGAUACGCACCAGACUCCUACGGGAGGCAGCAGUGGGAAAUCUUACACAGUGGGCGGAAGCCUGAUGCGACGACGCCGCGUGCGGAAUGACGGCCUUCGGGUUAUGAACCGCUUUCGCCUGUGACGAAGCGUGAGUGACGGUAAUGAGUAAAGAAGCACCGGCUAACUACGUG